rnacentral:rRNA from 1 species
AUUGAACGCUGGCGGCAGGCCUAACACAUGCAAGUCGAGCGGUAACACAAGGGAGCUUGCUCCUGAGGUGACGAGCGGCGGACGGGUGAGUAAUGCCUAGGUAUCUGCCCAGUCGAGGGGGAUAACAGUUGGAAACGACUGCUAAUACCGCAUACGCCCUACGGGGGAAAGGAGGGGACCUUCGGGCCUUCCGCGAUUGGAUGAACCUAGGUGGGAUUAGCUAGUUGGUGAGGUAAUGGCUCACCAAGGCGACGAUCCCUAGCUGGUCUGAGAGGAUGAUCAGCCACACUGGAACUGAGACACGGUCCAGACUCCUACGGGAGGCAGCAGUGGGGAAUAUUGCACAAUGGGCGAAAGCCUGAUGCAGCCAUGCCGCGUGUGUGAAGAAGGCCUUCGGGUUGUAAAGCACUUUCAGCGAGGAGGAAAGGUUAAGUCUUAAUACGGCUUAGCUGUGACGUUACUCGCAGAAGAAGCACCGGCUAACUUCGUGCCAGCAGCCGCGGUAAUACGAGGGGUGCAAGCGUUAAUCGGAAUUACUGGGCGUAAAGCGUACGCAGGCGGUUUGUUAAGCAAGAUGUGAAAGCCCCGGGCUCAACCUGGGAACUGCAUUUUGAACUGGCAAACUAGAAUCCUGUAGAGGGGGGUAGAAUUUCA